AGGGCGAGGAGGGGUGGAUGAGACGGGGGAGGAGGAAGAGGAGAGAGUGGGGGCGUCUGGGGAGGAAUAUCCCCGCCGCCUCCACAAGUCGAGGGGGAUGGGCCUGCUCGGGCUCAGCCUGUGAGAUGUCGACCGGACCAGCGGCGAUGGAGGAGAAAGGCCGGGCAGGUGCGUGCAGGCGGGAGAAGCUGGGGGCGCUCGUCGGUUGGGGAGAUGGCGACCACCUGAGCUUCUCCGAUUGACCUAGACAGGGCCACGACAGCAUAAGCAAGGGUGGGGGCGAGCAACCCUCUGAAGCCGGUAGCAGCCGUGCCCCUCCUCCUCACCUUCGCUUCUUCCCUCCUCCUCUCCAAUCUGUGAUGCCCAUCUGCGUCCUUGAUUUUCCAGUUUUCUGAUAAUCUAAUUUUGAUUCUCAUAUUCUGGUUACUUGUGGAGAGUAGAAGAAGAAUUUUGAGAAUGAGAUUGAUAAAGAUGAACAAGGAAGUAACGGUCAAGGAAGAAGAGUUAGAUGCCUCUGAAGAUGUUGAUGACUAGCCGCUUUGUCACAAGCAUGGCAGCUUGCUCAACUAUCUCCACUGCCUGCAUACAGCUGUUUCAGAACAGCGUCGAUCAACCCAGGUUUAUGUUUCCUUUCCAAGGGCGUUCGAAUAUAAUUACC